UUAAUUAUUCCAAAGAAAGGAGAGCCUUCACUGCUUGGCUGCAUGGUGGAUGUCAGGAUAAAUCAGCCAAUAAUCCAGCAGAGCUUUGCAAGGAUGCGGGAGUGGAGGCAAGCCAGGCCCAGCCCCUUCCUCCCUCUGCUCUGCAAAGCUGCCUGCCCCGGGGCUCUUUCCAUCUCGAAGACCUCAUUCCUGUGCCCCCAAUUAGCAGUCUGGGAAAUCAGACACAUUUACUGAGCGCCCACUUUGCUCCAGGCACCAGGCAGUUCUCGGGGAGAGGAAGAGAGAAUCGUCAAGAUUCCUGCCCUUAUGGCACGUUCGUGGCUGGUCUGCUGGACGUGAACCAAGAGCCAUUUGCUCCGGAGGCAAGAGUCGAGUCAGGCCCAGCUGGGCUUUCCCAUCCUUUAUGUGCCCGAUCCCAUUAAUAAUUAACGGUACAGUAAUGAGAAUGGCUUUUAAUAGAAUCUGCUGCCAUCACCGCAUUCUCUUCCCCGCCGAGGGUCUCCCCCAAAAGGAUUCACGCUUGUAUGGCUGCCGUUCCCGCCACGGGCACCGGGAAGCCGGAAGUUCUCCUGCCGAUGUCCCUCCCAGCCCCUCCUCUCUUCUGGGCCUGAGCUCCACUCCCUGUGACCUGACAGCCCCCUCACUCCUCCAUUUCCCACCCCUGUCCCGAAGCCCCGCCCAUGUCCCCUUGAGGUGCCCCCUGUGGUGCUCGACUCCCCCACCCAGCCCAGCCAAGCAUGGCGCUGUCACGCCUCGUCUGUCACCAGGGCAAACUGGUCCCAUUGAGCAGGGACGGGGUGGGCGUGAGACCCACACGGUGCAUCCAGGAGCUGACGUUCUGCAUGCACAGGCCCACUUACAGCAAAGGUCAGUGGGACGGGCGUGGAGGCAGGCCCGGGGGUUGAGCCCGGGCUUGGCCGCCAUUUGUGGGACCGCAGAGAGUGUCGUCACCCCUGUCCCCAGCCUCAGUUUAUUCGUCUGCAGAGCAGGGAUGAAGAUGGCCCCUACUCCAUCAGAGUGUUCCGGUGAGAAGAGAAGCGAAUGUGGGAGAAGCAGAAUUAAGGGACGGUCCCUAACAUUCGCUCCAGGAAAACACCACAAUGUGCCCAGGGUUUUAGCUACUCAUGAUGCUAUUCACUGCAGCAUUAUUUAUGAUGUCGCAACUUGGAAACCAGCUCCUCGUUCAAUAUUGGAGGAUUGGCUUCGACAAGUGUGAGCACAUCCACGCAACGGGGCCCAUGCCUGCUUCCCAAACUGGGGUGUGCCUCGGAACCCCCGGGAGCCCUGGGAAAAUGCAGGUUCUGGGGGUCCGGGGCUGAGAUCCUGCUCUUGUAAGAGCUGCUGGUUGGGGACGGCUCCCUGAGUAUAAGGGGGUGGGGCCCUUGGGCGGGUAGAAGUUCGGGGUCUGCUGGCGAUAGAAGAACCAGGUUGAUAACAGUGUGUUCUGGGGUCCCAUCCCAGGCUCAACGCAGAGCGCGUGUGGCUCACUCGGGACAAAGUCGGGAGGCUCGAAGCCGAGCGCUCGAAGUGCUUAUAGAGAGGGGAUGAAUUAUAGAUCGUCUCAAAUUUUCUCUUUGGUUUAUCUUAAUUUCAAAAUUAUCCACAAUUAACAUGUAUUACUUUUGUAAAUGGAGAAAAAUGUUAUUUUUUUAAAAAGAAUAAAUGUUCUCUUCCUUUCCCUACAA
ensembl:lncRNA